CAAAGGACCGGCCCUGGGUAGGUUAUCCUGUCCGAGUCAAAAUCUACGUAAACAUCCUCUACAAUCGUCCAAAUCACUGCUGUCUCGUAUGAAAAGCAAGAAAACUUUCACUCUCAAGAAAUCUGAGAGGCUUUCUACGCCGCCAAGGUGUUGUUUAUGCGGAACUUAGCAUGUCGCUGAUGUUCGUGAAGACCAUUAAGAUGAUAUCAUGAGAGGAAUUGGUGCCAGGAGGAGUAAAUUUCCCUAUACGUGCUUUCAAAUCAAUUGGUGGCCGGCCUAUUGUUAUUGAUUCUGUCAAGGGCUCUCACAUGUGGGAUAUCGAUGGUAAUGAGUACAUCGAUUAUGUAGGAUCGAAGGGGCCAGCCAUAAUUGGUCAUGCAGAUGAUGAAGUCCAUUUCUAGCCCUUCUUAAAAGCUAUUGCCAAUCGAGCAUGUAUAUAGCAAUAGUAAGAUGUUUCUGGAACCUUUUUAGAAUCAAUAGAGGAGUUGCAUUGAUAAGUUUGUUCUUAGGUAUGGUGGUUUCAAUGGUUAGGCCGUUUGUGUAAUUUUUUAUUAUUAUUUUUUUUUUUAAUUUA